rnacentral:misc_RNA from 1 species
GAUGAAGAACGUAGCGAAAUGCGAUAAGUAAUGUGAAUUGCAGAAUUCAGUGAACCAUCGAAUCUUUGAACGCACAUUGCGCCCGGCAGUAAUCUGCCGGGCAUGCCUGUCCGAGCGUCAUUUCUGCCCUCGAGCGAGUCCAGCAUCUAGGUGCUGGGCCCGCCCGGCGUUGGGGCACUACGGGAAGCCCUGUGCUGUCCCCCGUAGGCCCCGAAAUGAAGUGGCGAUCCUGCCGCGGCGCCCCCUGCGUAGUAUAACAGCUCGCUUCGGGACCCGGUGGAGGCCUGCCGUCAAACCUUACUCUCUAAGUUUGACCUCGGAUCAGGUAGGGUUACCCGCUGAACUUAAGCAUAUCAAUAAGCGGAGGA